rnacentral:rRNA from 1 species
GACAGAGGGUGCAAACGUUGUUCGGAAUUACUGGGCGUAAAGCGAGUGUAGGCGGUGUGGUAAGUCGGAUGUGAAAGCCCCGGGCUCAACCCGGGAAGUGCACUCGAUACUGCCACGCUAGAGUAUCGGAGAGGUUGGUGGAAUUCUCGGUGUAGGAGGUGAAAUUCGUAGAUAUCGAGAGGAACACCGGUGGCGAAGGCGGCCAACUGGACGAAUACUGACGCUGAGACUCGAAAGCGUGGGGAGCAAACAGG